CUGCUCAUGGUGCAAUUGGUUAGCACGCCAACUUCCUGGCUUCACCCUCCUUCCACCUCAUGCACAGCGGGAGGCGACUAGGCUAGUUGGAGGCCCUCGUUCGAAACGAGAACGGGCAGA